rnacentral:lncRNA from 1 species
CGCAAACUUUAUUAGACCACAUGAGUGAGGUAAAUAUAUUAGUUUAAAAUUUUAGACCUCUACUUCAGACAAGUAAACUUUAGACUCGAUCGAUAAUCCAAACAUGCCCUUUAUCUCUAUCAUAAAUAUGAAUAAAAAUAUUAUAAAUGCAUAUGUUUUUGAACGAGGGGAUAGUAAUAGAAAAGGCUGAACUAUAUAUAUACAUUUGGUCAUGAUGAACGAGGGGAUAGUCAUGAUGAAUCCAAAAUGAUCGUCGAAGAGAGUACUACCUCUAUCCACAAAAGAAUGUAAAUUUGGUAUCCAUCGGUUUACUAAAAAAUAUAUUACAUAAUUAAUCUGACGCUACUUAUUUUAUCAUAAAUAUUUUUAUUUUUUCAUAUAAAUUUAUUCAAAUUAAGUAUAUGAUUUUUUUUGUGAAGAAAGAUAAUUGCAUUCUUUUCUUCUGACUGGAGUACAUAUAUGAUUCGUCUGCGUUGUGAAGUUUGUGAACAUGGAAACUAACUAAAGGAAAUGUCUUUAUCAUAUAUAUAUUUAGGCAGCGGCGGCAUCUCGAUAAGUAAAUAUUCACACACAUUUCCCAUGUGAACAUCCUCACUCUACGACGUGGACACAUCACAACAUUUAUCACCGUACUAAUCAUCGAUACGUAACCUGUGUGUGGACUUUCAGUCUUUCACACUUUCAAAAAAAAAAAAAACUCGUGGACUUUGUUGUUUGCAUGUUGCAACGUGGCAACAUCUAUCAUCCCUGCGCUUGAAGGAAGGAACUAUGGCCUAUAGUAGAUGGCAUGGAUGUGGAUAUCCAGCGACCCGAUCGAUCCAGACGACGACUAUCGCGACAUGAAUUAUUGUGUGACGAAGAACAGAAUGCUUAUAUAUAUUACGUCAUGGUGCUAACGUCACCGAUGUGCCCUAAUUCAGGACCGCGUGUGCAUGUGUGUCAAAUAAAGCGCGCGUCCAGCGUCUUGUGGCGACCUGGCCCAUGCAAUAUUGACACAGGUACGUACUACAGCAGAAACUAAAAAAAAGGACGGAACCACCAGCUUGCUCUUCACAGAAGAAAAAAAGUCUACUAAAUAUAUAUGUAGGAGUAUAGAUUUAUUUAGUAUGAGUAGGAUAAAUUGCAAAAUAUUUCUUUUUGUAGGACAGGGUUUCUUGCACAACGAACUAAAUAAAGCAGGCCGGGAGACAUUAUUCUCUCUAGUCUAGAAAAAAAUUCUCCAAACGUACUUACGUACCUACGCCAAUUGGCAUGGAAAAUUUGUUAGGUAGUUAAUGUUAAUCUAGUACAAUAGUACGAGUGUUUUAUAUGUCAUUGCACAUGGCCACAUGUAUCUAUUAGGUCGUACGUAGUUUGCGGUUAGUAAGCAACACAUCAGAACUUACCUUUCAUUCCUUUCAUUCGUAGGCGAAUGGUGUUGUUAGCCUCAACCAAAAGUAGUAUUCCAUGUAGACAAGGAAGAGAUAAGGCAAAUAAUCUCACAGCGCAAGCAACAAGAAGCUAAGCAGGAGCAUUUUAUUAUUGGUCUCAUCAGUUUGCAACUUUCUUUUUUCAUCUUGCUGCUUAAUUUUCCUCUCGUCGCCCC